AUCUAGGCUCUUGCAUCGAUGAAGAACGUAGCGAAAUGCGAUACUUGGUGUGAAUUGCAGAAUCCCGUGAACCAUCGAGUCUUUGAACGCAAGUUGCGCCCGAUGCCAUUAGGUUGAGGGCACGUCUGCCUGCGUGUCACAUAUCGAAACCUCCUGCCAAUUUC
rnacentral:rRNA from 1 species